UCAGAAACUUAAAGGAAUUAGACGGGGGCCCGCGACAAGCGGUGGAGCAUGUGGUUUAAUUCGAUGAUACGCGAGGAACCUUACCUGGGCUCAAAUGUAUGUUGACGUAUUCUGAAAGGGAUACUUCUUCGGACAAUAUACAAGGUGCUGCAUGGUUGUCGUCAGCUCGUGCCGUGAGGUGUCGGGUUAAGUCCCAUAACGAGCGCAACCCCUAUCAUUAGUUGCCAUCAGGUCAAGCUGGGGACUCUAAUGAAACUGCCUACGCAAGUAGUGAGGAAGGUGGGGAUGACGUCAAAUCAGCACGGCCCUUACGUCCAGGGCUACACACGUGCUACAAUGGCCGGUACAAAGGGCAGCUACCUGGUGACAGGAUGCUAAUCUCAAAAGCCGGUCUCAGUUCGGAUCGGAGUCUGCAACCCGACUCCGUGAAGCUGGAAUCGCCAGUAAUCGCGCAUCAGCCAUGGCGCGGUGAAUACGUUCCCGGGCCUU
rnacentral:rRNA from 1 species